AUGGACUCAGUACAGAAAUUGGUAUCUGAGUCUGACAACCAAAAACCUAACCAAAACACAAUACAAAGGAGACGGCGCUCCUGUUUGCCAGCUGGGCGGCUGACGCUGGAGCUGUCGCCCCUCCCUCGGCACCCGCAGGAAAAAACAGUGCUGCCUGCCCUGCGGUCCUCCACCCGCCCGCUGAUGCUGUGUGGGCGUUGCAGUCUUUCCUCUCUCUGCUUAUUCUGCCCAUGGGAUAUCUCCCCAGACUUUCUCUCCCAGCUGCGUCUGCGUCCGUCCUUUGUCAUGAUGACUGGGAGUGGUCACAGCCUGCCCCAGCAGGCACCCACCACCCUGGCCAAACCCCAGCCCUUUCAGAAGGGGUUCAGGGUUGGGCGUGGGGGUACCUCUGUCACCUCAGCAAGCUUCUUUCUUUGGCCGGACUUGUCUUUAACCUGCACGAUGUGUAGACAUUUCCUGGCGCAGGCCCAGCAGGGAGGGAGCAGCCACCCCUGCCAUAGUGUUCUCACCCAAGUAGUUUUAGACACGAUGUUUGAGACUCUGUCUCAGGAAGCUCUGGAGCCGGUGUCGUCCAUUAACAAGCGCUGUCUCCUCCGAAGGUCUCCAUCCAGGGAUCCGGGUGAGGGAGCCAGAGCCCUGAGACUUCCUAAGCUGCCUGCCUGCUCUGCCCUGCUGCCAGCGUCUGAGUCAGUGGCAGCCCCUCCCUCGCCGCCUGGACCGCCCGUCAGAAGUGAUCUUACGGGAGAUUUCCUGAAAGCAAGUUUCAGCAAGAAGCUGGAAAGGCUUCUCAGGAAGAAGGUCAGGCUGGCAGUAAUCAGGGUGCACCCAGGCACUCGGCAAUCGUCCCCAGUGAGAACAGACGGAGCCCUCCCCACAGUCAAGUGUGGUGGGACACAAAGGACCUCGGGGACCUUCAGCGUUACACUGCAGUCCGAAGAGCUCGGGCCUCCUGAGCAGCCAGUGCAGUUGGCUACUUGGCAGUUCCAGUUGUCAGGACUCUGAAGGACUGAACCUAUCAUGUUACUACUGGGAAAGAGAGAACUGCAGCGUGCUCAGAGAAGCCUUUUAGCGCAAAGUAUCUGGGUCCUCAGUGACCUUUUGGUAUGAAAACAUCUUUGACCCCAGUUGUGAUCAAGCAAAAUCAUGAGAUCAUUUGUUAUUAAACUGUGCCUGGCAUGUUGAAGAUGAGGCAGGGUAAGUCACAAAAUGGUGAGACUGAAGUGACAAAGUGAUGGGUUUUAAAACCCAAACAUGAUCUGGGGAAGUUUCUGUGUCGAGACAGACAUGGCCAGAAACGAGCUAACGUGUACAGAUGGGUCAGCUGGUAACUGAACCUCUCAAGCUCCGCGCCACCCACCCAGUGACCAGUGUGCACAACAGUCCUCGCCCGUGGAGGACAGAGUUUCUUCCCAGGUGUGACUGUCCACACGUGGGGGCUUCUGAGUUGAGAGCGGCCCGAAGCUGACCCCACAGCCUCAGGCUGGGACUCAUGAGUGGAGUCCCAUCUCUGCUCCUUGGCUGAUGCUAAUCCAAACGCAUCUGGAGGGACUGUGCUGAGGGCGUGGAUUUCAGGAGGCAGAGUCGUUUUAAAUGAGUGGAGUGGAAGAGAUGUUCUCUCCCAUCCCGAGGCCUGUGGCGGAGAAGGGGUGAGAGCCGCCCCUACAUUUCAGCCACAUUCUGCUUCCAAUGCAGCUAGAGGCAGGCAGGACCAGAGUCCCAUCUGCUGGAACAGCAAGGGGUCAAGAUGGCACUGCACCCUCCAGGCCUUUUUGUAAAGCCAAGACUAUCUA
rnacentral:lncRNA from 1 species